CUCUCCGCGCGUGCGCAAAGGGCAGCGAGCGGCCGGGUGGAAGUUUCCGCGCCGGCUGGGAAAACGAAACCGCGUAAGCCGCGGCGGCGGCCCUGGACGAGCGUUGCAGGUGCUGCGGCCGCCGCCCUCCGGACGGACAUGUGCUUUCCCGUUCUGUGCAGUCAAGGGACCCGGGCAGAGCCUCGUGGCCCACCGCAGCCCUGAGCGCCCCGCCAGUAUGCGGGUUUGGGGUGCGCCACGGGCCAUGCGGCCGGGCAAGUCGGAAGCAGUGCCAGUGCCCCGUGCGUUUGAUGUGCGGGACGAGCCUGGGCAUCGCGAGGGCAGGAACCCAGCGGAUGCUGUCUAUCUGCUUGGGCUGCGCUCGGGCCCGCUACUUCCCUGGCUCGGCGGAUGCUGUCUGUCUGCUUGGGCUGCGCUCUGGCCCACUACUACCCGGGCUCCUCUUAUUUUGAGCACAAGGGAGCUGACUCCGCUCCUGGUCGAUACCACCUUCUCUACGACUGCACCAACGUGAACGGGCCGGAGUGCGUUCUUAGUUCCUUUGGAAACCUGCCAUGUUGGAUCGGGCUCACCCUAACAAUGUCAGCAUAACCUGAGAACACCUGCAAAGAUCUGUUUCCCCAGAAGACCAUUCUGGCACCCAGGGCAAGGGCUUCAACACCUUUUGAUGCCACCAUCUCAUACAUAAUUUAUCUGUGUUCCCUCUACUCCAUCAAAAUAACAGGUCCCCAAGGAGAGGAAGGCUUGUCCUCUUCUCUGAUGGACAUCAGCUCUAGGACAGUAGCACACAGGAAACAGUGAGUGAAGUUGAGCCCUGGCAGCAACCACUGACAACUGAAGGAUGGCUGAACAGACCAAGAGCAGUCAGGACAGGAGGACGGCAGAAAAUAGAAAGACAAUGACAGAGUGGGUUAUAAACAGCCAGAGCAGAGAGCUUGCGGUCCUGGCUACAAGAAGACCUCCAGAGAACUGUCGAGUCUGCCAAGUCCAAAGGGCUCACACCCAAGGCUGACAGCUCUAACACCGGCCAUAUCCCAGGCCCAAGGGUCCCACUGCUGAAGUCUUGUGUGGAAAUGGCCGCCCUUGGACAUUUCCUGCGGCCAAAUUAGACAAGUUGGCUGUGUUUCCUGUCUGAGGUCACAUCUGGGGACAGCCCAGGACCACACCUCACCACCUCAGGUGCCAACAGUCAGUAAGCAGAGGCUCCACCCAGGUAGGAAGCCUAGGGUCUGUGAGCCCAGUUUCCCAACUGCCAUCCCCAUGCUCGAUUGUACAGCCUUGG
rnacentral:lncRNA from 1 species